CGGGGCCCGCACAAGCAGCGGAGCGUGUGGUUUAAUUCGAUGCAACGCGAAGAACCUUUACCAGGGUUUUGACAUGCUUAAAGUAGGAACUCGAAAGAGGGACGACCUGUAUCCAGUCAGGAGUUUUGCACAGGUGCUGCAUGGCUGUCGUCAGCUCGUGCCGUGAGGUGUUAGGUUAAGUCCUGCAACGAGCGCAACCCUCGUCGCUAGUUGUUUUCUCUAGCGAUACUGCCCGUAUAACGUGGAGGAAGGUGGGGAUGACGUCAAGUCAGCAUGGCCCUUACAUCCUGGGCUACACACACGCUACAAUGGGUGAUACAACAGGCUGCAAUAGAGUAAUCUGGAGCCAAUCCCUAAAAUCAUCCUCAGUACGGAUUGCAGGCUGCAACUGCCUGCAUGAAGUUGGAGUUGCUAGUAAACGCAGGUCAGCACACUGCGUUGAAUACGUUCUCGGGCCUU
rnacentral:rRNA from 1 species